UACGUAGGGGGCAAGCGUUGUCCGGAAUCAUUGGGCGUAAAGAGCGCGUAGGCGGUCCGGUAAGUCGGUUGUGAAAACUGGGGGCUCAACCCUCAGAGGCCGACCGAUACUGUAGAGCUAGAGUCCGGAAGAGGCGAGUGGAAUUCCUGGUGUAGCGGUGGAAUGCGCAGAUAUCAGGAGGAACACCAAUAGCGAAGGCAGCUCGCUGGGACGUGACUGACACUAAGGCGCGAAAGCGUGGGGAGCGAACAGG
rnacentral:rRNA from 1 species